rnacentral:rRNA from 1 species
CCUACGGGUGUCAGCAGUGAGGAAUAUUGGUCAAUGGGCUCGAGCCUGAACCAGCCAAGUAGCGUGAAGGAUGACUGCCCUACGGGUUGUACACUUCUUUUAUCAAGGAAUAAAGUGAGGCACGUGUGCCUUUUUGUAUGUACUUUAUGAAUAAGGAUCGGCUAACUCCGUGCCAGCAACCGCGGUAAUACGGAGGAUCCGAGCGUUAUCCGGAUUUAUUUGGUUUAAAGGGAGCGUAGAGGGGUUGUUAAGUCAGUUGUGAAAGUUUGCGGCUCAACCGUAAAAUUGCAAUUGAUACUGGCAGCCUUGAGUACAGUUGAGGUAGGCGGAAUUCGUGGUGUAGCGGUGAAAUGCUUAGAUAUCACGAAGAACUCCGAUUGCGAAGGCAGCCUACUAAACUGCCACUGACAUUGAUGCUCGAAAGUGUGGGUAUCAAACAGGAUUAGAUACCCCUGUAGUC